rnacentral:rRNA from 1 species
UACCCUGGUAGUCCACGCCGUAAACGAUGAGUGCUAGCUGUAGGGAGCUAUAAGUUCUCUGUAGCGCAGCUAACGCAUUAAGCACUCCGCCUGGGGAGUACGACCGCAAGGUUGAAACUCAAAGGAAUUGACGGGGGCCCGCACAAGCGGUGGAGCAUGUGGUUUAAUUCGAAGCAACGCGAAGAACCUUACCAGGUCUUGACAUACUCGUGCUAUCCUUAGAGAUAAGGAGUUCCUUCGGGACACGGGAUACAGGUGGUGCAUGGUUGUCGUCAGCUCGUGUCGUGAGAUGUUGGGUUAAGUCCCGCAACGAGCGCAACCCUUAUUACUAGUUGCCAUCAUUAAGUUGGGCACUCUAGUGAGACUGCCGGUGAUAAACCGGAGGAAGGUGGGGAUGACGUCAAAUCAUCAUGCCCCUUAUGACCUGGGCUACACACGUGCUACAAUGGAUGGUACAACGAGUCGCCAACCCGCGAGGGUGCGCUAAUCUCUUAAAACCAUUCUCAGUUCGGAUUGCAGGCUGCAACUCGCCUGCAUGAAGUCGGAAUCGCUAGUAAUCGCGGAUCAGCACGCCGCGGUGAAUACGUUCCCGGGCCUUGUACACACCGCCCGUCACACCACGGAAGUUGGGAGUACCCAAAGUAGGUUGCCUAACCGCAAGGAGGGCGCUUCCUAAGGUAAGACCGAUGACUGGGGUGAAGUCGUAACAAGGU